AAGCCAUGGUGUGGGCAUUUUCUUAUUAACUCCUUCAUCCUCUCCUAAGUCUCAUGAAUUUGUUCACCCGGUGUUUGGGUGAAUCCAGUAAUGGCUCUUCUCAUGGU
rnacentral:snoRNA from 1 species